GUCGAACGGACUCAUAUUGAAACCUAGUGAUUUAUGAGUUAGUGGCGGACGGGUGAGUAACGCGUGGAUAACCUGCCGUAUACCGGGGGAUAACACUUAGAAAUAGGUGCUAAUACCGCAUAAGCGCACGGCUCCGCAUGGGGCAGUGUGAAAAACUCCGGUGGUAUACGAUGGAUCCGCGUCUGAUUAGCUAGUUGGCGGGGUAACGGCCCACCAAGGCAGCGAUCAGUAGCCGGCCUGAGAGGGUGGACGGCCACAUUGGGACUGAGACACGGCCCAAACUCCUACGGGAGGCAGCAGUGGGGAAUAUUGCACAAUGGGGGAAACCCUGAUGCAGCGACGCCGCGUGAGUGAAGAAGUAUCUCGGUACGUAAAGCUCUAUCAGCAGGGAAGAAAAUGACGGUACCUGACUAAGAAGCCCCGGCUAACUACGUGCCAGCAGCCGCGGUAAUACGUAGGGGGCAAGCGUUAUCCGGAUUUACUGGGUGUAAAGGGAGCGUAGACGGCAGCACAAGUCUGGAGUGAAAUCCCGGGGCUUAACCCCGGAACUGCUUUGGAAACUGUGCGGCUGGAGUGCAGGAGGGGUAAGCGGAAUUCCUAGUGUAGCGGUGAAAUGCGUAGAUAUUAGGAGGAACACCGGUGGCGAAGGCGGCUUACUGGACUGUAACUGACGUUGAGGCUCGAAAGCGUGGGGAGCAAACAGGAUUAGAUACCCUGGUAGUCCACGCCGUAAACGAUGAUUACUAGGUGUCGGGGGAUCAAGGUCCUCCGGUGCCGGCGCAAACGCAUUA
rnacentral:rRNA from 1 species